rnacentral:rRNA from 1 species
AUACCCUAUUAUUUUAAGUGUUAAUUUUACUUACCUGGGUACUAUUAGUUAAGAUCUUUAAACCCAAAGAAUUUGGCGGUAUCUCAUUCCAUUCAGAGGAACCUACCCCGUAAUUGAUAAUACACGAUUAACUUUACUUAAUUUAUUUGUUUGUAUAUCUCCGUUAUCAGAAAAUCUUAUUGGAGUUAUAAUUUUCUUGAUUUAUAAUUGUAAAGUAUUUCAGGUCAAGGUGCAGCUUAUAAUUAAGAGGAGGUGGGUUACAAUAAUUUUUGUUUAUUAUGGAUUUAAUGGUGAAAUACCAUUAAUAAAGGUGGAUUUGAUAGUAAUUUAAUUUAGUUAAUUUAAUUGAUAUUGGCUCUGAGGUGUGUACACAUCGCCCGUCGCUCUCA